rfam:Triticum aestivum genome assembly, contig: Triticum_aestivum_CS42_TGACv1_scaffold_320350_4BL
UGGUCACUAUGAUGUUGGCUCGACUCACUCAGACCACGCCGGCCGGCCGGCCGGAGCCAUCCGCGGCGGUGGUUCUGAUUGAGCCGUGCCAAUAUCUUAGUGCUCUUU